ACUUCUGUUGACGUUUGGGUUUCUAGGGUUCAAACAACAAUGGAGGUUUGGAGGUUUGGAAAGGUUGUCUGAGACAGUCUUUGUAAAGAGUCUCUGGGUCGAGCUUCGUUGGUGUCGUUUCGUAUGAGAUUCUUCUCCUCCAACCAUUACGAGAUGCAUUGAUCCAUCACUCAAUCAAUGCAUAUUCCCUCUCUACAAGGCGGUGAUCUCCAGCUAUAAAAAGGUGAGCUUUCAUCCCGUUACCAUCAUUUUCAUAUUGAUUGUUCAUAUGCAAUUAGUCUCUGCGUUCAUGUUGGCCAUCCAAGCUCCUUUGCCGCUGAAUCAUCAUCACCAUCAUACAGGAUCUAACCAUGUAACGCCUCUCACGCUAGUUGACCUGUCAAGAACCUCUGCUAGAGAUAUUCAGUUCCUGUCGACAGAGAAAUCGUGGAGAAGAUGGUAUACAGACUUUAAACUGUGAUUUCAAGUGAGGAGAUGGUAUACAGACUUUAAACUGUGAUUUCAAGUGAGGAGGUUGGUCUUCUAAAUAUGCUUUUUGUUAGGCACUUUGAGUGUUUGAGAGUAGAUGGACUGAGAUAACAAAGGUGGGUUCAUGCAGUAAGGAUAAUAAUGUGAAGAACAUGUUUAAGCCACGUUGUUGUAAGAAGAGAGCCAAGUAUGAAACGAUGGACAGCAAGAACAGCUCAAACAAGAAAAUAAUAUUGUUCUUAGACGAUUGUACUACUCCAGUAAAGACGAAUAUGAAAAUUAUAUUGCCAAGAGAACAAGGAACUUGCUCCAUAUAAGGGAUUGGGCUGAGGAUGAAGCGAGAAGAAAAACAGAGCAGGAUGUGUUAAAAAAAAAAGAACAAGCAAGCAAGAAGUGUUGGACGAAGGCAAGAAGCUAGAGGACACUGGGAAAAGUAUGGCCUAGAAAUAAUUGUUGAAGGUGAACUACAUGAACAUACAACAACUGCGUCUACGUAGCUGAAAGUGGGAAUGCAAAAUCAUGUCGAAGGCAGCAUGAAAAGAGCUUAAAAAAUAUGGUUGCUAAGCUCAAGAAGAUGGCGAAAAGAUGUAGGAAAUAAAUCCACACAUAAGUUAUCUACUCUAUUAAAAAAACAGAUACGUCUGUUCAUAUCAUCAUUGAAAGAAUAGGUUUAUGGAUUAAGCAAUAAAUAUUAAGACAUGAAAAAUGAAAACCAA